rnacentral:rRNA from 1 species
ACCGGCGCACGGGUGCGUAACGCGUAUGCAACCUACCUUUUACAGAGGGAUAGCCCAGAGAAAUUUGGAUUAAUACCUCAUGGUAUAUAUUAUUCGCAUGUUUGAUAUAUUAAAGUUCCAACGGUAAAAGAUGGGCAUGCGUCCUAUUAGCUAGAUGGUAAGGUAACGGCUUACCAUGGCAACGAUAGGUAGGGGUCCUGAGAGGGAGAUCCCCCACACUGGUACUGAGACACGGACCAGACUCCUACGGGAGGCAGCAGUGAGGAAUAUUGGACAAUGGGCGCAAGCCUGAUCCAGCCAUGCCGCGUGCAGGAAGAAGCAUCUAUGGUGUGUAAACUGCUUUUGUACAGGAAGAAACAUCCCGACGUGUCGGGACUUGACGGUACUGUAAGAAUAAGGAUCGGCUAACUCCGUGCCAGCAGCCGCGGUAAUACGGAGGAUCCAAGCGUUAUCCGGAAUCAUUGGGUUUAAAGGGUCCGUAGGCGGUUUAUUAAGUCAGUGGUGAAAGCCCGCAGCUCAACUGUGGAACGGCCAUUGAUACUGAUAGACUUGAAUUACUGGGAAGUAACUAGAAUAUGUAGUGUAGCGGUGAAAUGCUUAGAUAUUACAUGGAAUACCAAUUGCGAAGGCAGGUUACUACCAGUGGAUUGACGCUGAUGGACGAAAGCGUGGGGAGCGAACAGGAUUAGAUACCCUGGUA